rnacentral:tRNA from 1 species
UCUUACUCUAAUUAAUAUUUAUAUAUGAUUUGAAUUCAUAUUAAAGAAAUUUAAUUUCUAUUAAUUU